GACGAACGCUGGCGGCGUGCUUAACACAUGCAAGUCGAACGGAAAGGCCCUGCUUUUGUGGGGUGCUCGAGUGGCGAACGGGUGAGUAACACGUGAGUAACCUGCCCUUGACUUUGGGAUAACUUCAGGAAACUGGGGCUAAUACCGGAUAGGAGCUCCUGCUGCAUGGUGGGGGUUGGAAAGUUUCGGCGGUUGGGGAUGGACUGGCGGCUUAUCAGCUUGUUGGGGGGGUAGUGGCUAACCAAGGCUUGGACGGGUAGCCGGCCUGGGAGGGGAACCGGACCAGUGAGACUGGGACGGAGACACGGCCCAGACGGGGACGGGAGGGAGGAGUGGGGAACACUGGGGAAGGGGCGAAAGGCCGACACAGCGCUGCCGGGUGAGUGGUCCAGGGGUUAGGGAAGCAAAGCCCCUUUACCCGGGGUGAGAAUGACGGUAAUGGGAGAAUAAGCCCCGGCUAACUACGUG
rnacentral:rRNA from 1 species